rnacentral:rRNA from 1 species
AACGAACGCUGGCUGCAUGCCUAAUACAUGCAAGUCGAACGAGAUCUUCGGAUCUAGUGGCGCACGGGUGCGUAACGCGUGGGAAUCUGCCCUUGGGUUCGGAAUAACGUCGGGAAACUGACGCUAAUACCGGAUGAUGACGUAAGUCCAAAGAUUUAUCGCCCAGGGAUGAGCCCGCGUAGGAUUAGCUAGUUGGUGGGGUAAAGGCCUACCAAGGCGACGAUCCUUAGCUGGUCUGAGAGGAUGAUCAGCCACACUGGGACUGAGACACGGCCCAGACUCCUACGGGAGGCAGCAGUAGGGAAUAUUGGACAAUGGGGGCAACCCUGAUCCAGCAAUGCCGCGUGAGUGAUGAAGGCCUUAGGGUUGUAAAGCUCUUUUACCCGGGAUGAUAAUGACAGUACCGGGAGAAUAAGCCCCGGCUAACUCCGUG